CCUACGGGAGGCAGCAGUAGGGAAUAUUGCACAAUGGAGGAAACUCUGAUGCAGCAACGCCGCGUGAAGGAUGAAGGUUUUCGGAUCGUAAACUUCUUUGAUGAGGGACGAAUAAUGACGGUACCUCAAAAACAAGCCACGGCUAACUACGUGCCAGCAGCCGCGGUAAU
rnacentral:rRNA from 1 species